rnacentral:rRNA from 1 species
GACGAACGCUGGCGGCGUGCUUAACACAUGCAAGUCGAACGGAAAGGCCCUGCUUUUGUGGGGUGCUCGAGUGGCGAACGGGUGAGUAACACGUGAGUAACCUGCCCUUGACUUUGGGAUAACUUCAGGAAACUGGGGCUAAUACCGGAUAGGAGCUCCUGCUGCAUGGUGGGGGUUGGAAAGUUUCGGCGGUUGGGGAUGGACUCGCGGCUUAUCAGCUUGUUGGUGGGGUAGUGGCUUACCAAGGCUUUGACGGGUAGCCGGACUGAGAGGGUGACCGGCCACAUUGGGACAGAGGUACGGCCCAGACUCCUACGGGAGGCAGCAGUGGGGAAUAUUGCACAAUGGGCGGAAGCCUGAUGCAGCAACGCCGCGUGCGGGAUGACGGCCUUCGGGUUGUAAACCGCUUUCGCCUGUGACGAAGCGUGAGUGACGGUAAUGGGUAAAGAAGCACCGGCUAACUACGUG